rnacentral:rRNA from 1 species
ACGAACGCUGGCGGCGUGCUUAACACAUGCAAGUCGAACGGAAAGGCCCUGCUUUUGUGGGGUGCUCGAGUGGCGAACGGGUGAGUAACACGUGAGUAACCUGCCCUUGACUUUGGGAUAACUUCAGGAAACUGGGGCUAAUACCGGAUAGGAGCUCCUGCUGCAUGGUGGGGGUUGGAAAGUUUCGGCGGUUGGGGAUGGACUCGCGGCUUAUCAGCUUGUUGGUGGGGUAGUGGCUUACCAAGGCUUUGACGGGUAGCCGGCCUGAGAGGGUGACCGGCCACAUUGGGACUGAGAUACGGCCCAGACUCCUACGGGAGGCAGCAGUGGGGAAUAUUGCACGAUGGGCGGAAGCCUGAUGCAGCAACGCCGCGUGCGGGAUGACGGCCUUCGGGUUGUAAACCGCUUUCGCCUGUGACGAAGCGUGAGUGACGGUAAUGGGUAAAGAAGCACCGGCUAACUACGU